rnacentral:lncRNA from 1 species
AUGGCAGUAGGCCCUGGACUUCCCUGCCCUGCAGGCAGUGAUGAGGCUGGGCAGCAGAGAAACAAGAAAAUGGACUCCCUCCUCCUGAAGACAAGAAUGCCAGCCACCAGCCAUGGGUAUGGUGGUGUCCUUCCCUGAGCUGCAGCCCCUUCGGGGCCCUGCCCGACAAGAGUCCCGGGACAUCUUCCCUCUCGGUGUCACAAGUCUUUGCGAGGAACCUGAUGUUCCCUCGACCUUCACCGCAAUCCGCACCAGCUUUGCCUCAAGCCUCUGUGUGUUAGGCACUAUGCCCCACGGUUUACAGCUUAUUCAGCCUCCCUGCAAACUUGGUCAAAUAAGUGAUACAAUUCAUUUGUUUCCAAUGUGGAAGCCAGGACUCAGAGAUUAGAUUACUUUCAGAGCGAAAAUGUAACAAGCCAGAGUGGCAGCCCAAGGUCUCUGAAGCUCUUGCCUGUUAUCAGAAAUUUAGGCUGCGCCUUCCCUGAUAGCUCCAGUGACAAAGACUUCGCCUGCCAGUGAAGGAGACAUGGGUUCCACCUCUGAUCUGGGAAGAUCCCAUAUGCGGCAGAGCAACUAAGCCCCUGCACCACGACUAUUGACCUCUGUGCCGCAGCUACUGAGGCCCACGUGCCCUAGAGGGUGGCCCCUGCUCGCUGCAGCUAGAGAGAAGCCCUCCCUGCACCGAAGACCCAGUACAGAUCCCCCAAAAUAAAUAAAAUUAUUUUUUUUGUUGGUGAGACUGUCCACCUACAGGUAGAAGAUGAAUUAUAUUUGCAUACGUGUAUCUGUAAUACACUUCUUUUCUCAUAUUUUAUUUAACCUGAACCGUUGGCACACACUGGUAAAAUUUGCCUUUAUUACUGUUUGCCUUAUGUGCAUCAUUAUGUGUACCAGUUGAUGCAGGGUAGUUCAGUAGUUCAUCUGAAGAACCUGUAACCUCCAUAAGUUGGAAAGGUUUGAUUUCAAAAAUCUGAAGUCUUCCUCUGCACCUGGGAGGUUUGGUGAGCUGUUUGAGGAGGAACAAACGGACAAACUCUAAGAGUAAAUCUUUCUCAGCCUAGUUCUAGUAAAACUGACACAACCCAAGUCUAAGUUGUUGUCAAGAUCAGCUGUUUUAUAAACCAGGUCACUAAUAAGUACCUGCUAAUAUCUGAAUGUUUUAAAAUAUUACAGUUAAAACUGUGGUCCAUGAAAGAAAAGCUGUCCUUUGUCCUGUGGGACUGCUUUAGGGCACUUAUCCUCAGGCCACUCAGGAUAGCCUUGAGGACAGAUUAAUUCUGGGUGUUUCAAACUGAUAGAUUUAUACAGCAGUCUCAGAAAUCACAGUCACUGACUUGGGAUUGUGGAGUACUUUUUCUGUGUCCUCUUUUUAAAAAUUUUUUAUUGAAGUAUAGUUGAUUUAAAAUGUUGUGUUAGUUUCUUUGUACAGCAAAAUGGGUUAUACAUAUAUAUAUAUCCAGUUGUACAUAUAUGUAUUAUUUUUCAUAUUCUUUUCCAUUAUGGUUUAUCAUAGGAUAUUGAAUAUAGUUUCCUGUGCUAUAUAGUAGGACCUCGUUAUUUGUAUAUUCUGUAUAUAUUAAUAAUUGUUUGCAUCUGCUAAUCCCAACUCCCCGUCCUUCCCUCACCCAUGCCCUCCCUUCUUGGCAGCCGCAAGCCUGUUCUCUAUAUCUGUGAGUCUUUCUGGUUCAUAGAUAUGUUCAUUUGUGUUAUAUUUUAGAUUUCACAUGUAAGUGAUACUGUAUGUUAUUUGUCCUUCUCGUUCGGACUUAUUUCACUUAGUAUGAUAAUCUCUAGGUUUAUCCAUGUUGUUGCAAACAGCAUUGUUUUAUUCUUUAUGACUAAUACUCCAUUGUAUAUACAUGGUAUAUCUUCUUUAUCCAUCCAAAGACAGUUAGGUGGACAAUUAGGUCGUUUUCGUGUCUUGGCUAUUGUGAAUAGUGCUGCUAUGAACAUAGGGGUGCGUGUAUAUUUUUGAAUUAUACUUUUGUCUGGAUAUAUGCCAAGGAAAGGAAUUGCUGGAUCAUGUGACAACUCUAUUUUUAGUUUUUAGAGGAACCUGCAUACUAUUUUCCGUAGUGUUUGCACUAAUUUACAUUCCCACCAACAGUGUCAGAGGGUUCCCUUUUCUCUAUACCUUCUCCAGCAUUUGUUGUUUGUAGAUUUUUUUUAAUGAUGGCCAUUCUGACCAGUGUGAGAUGGUACCUCAUUGUAGUUUUGAUUUACAUUUGUCUAAUAAUUAGCGACAAUGAGCAUGCUGUCUUUGGAGAAAUAUCUAUUUAGGUCUUUUGCCCACUUUUCAUUUGGGUUGUUUGGGGUUUUUUUGUUAUUGAGCUGUAUGAGUUGUUUAUAUAUUUUGGAAAUUAGGCUGUUGUUGGUCAUGUCAUUUGCAAAUAUUUUCUUCCAGUCCGUAGGUCAUCUUUUUGUUUUGUCUGUUAUUUCCUUUGCUGUUUGAUUAGGAUCCAUUUGUUUAUUUUUGCUUAUUUCCAUUGCCUUGGGAGACCGACCCAAGAAACCAUUGGUAUGAUUUGUGUCAGACAAUGUUUUGCCUGUGUUCUUUUUGAGGAGUUUUAUGGUGUGAUGUCUUCUUUAUGGUGUCAUGUCUUCUUUUUAAGAAACAGCUUUAUUUAAAUAUAUUUCUCAUACUGUGCAAUUCACCUAUUUAAAAUGUACAGUUCAGUGGUUUUUAGGAUGUUCAUGGAAUUGUGCAUUCAUCACCAAAGUCAACUUAAAACAUUUUUAAUUACCCCUAAAAAAACCUCUGUACCCCUAAUUAUUGCCUCCCCAAUCUCCCCAUUUCCCCCAGCCCCUGAAAACCGCUAAUCUACUUUCUGUCCCUAUAGAUUUGCCUAUCCUGGAUCAUAUGAAUAAAACCAUACAAUAUGUGGUCUUUUGCAUCUGGCUUCUUGCACUUAGCUUGAUGUUUUCAAGGUUCAUCCACAUUGUAGCAUAUGUCAGUAUUCCAUUCCUGUCUGUUGCCAAAUAAUAUUCCAUUGUAUGGGGAUACCACAUUUUAUUUAUUCAUUCAUCAUUUGAUGGAUGUUAGGGUUAUUUCUAUUUUGGGGCUAUUACAAAUAAUGCUGCAGUGACCAUUUUUGUGUACAGGUUUUGUGUGGACUAUGUUUUGUGACUCUAUAAGCUGUAGUGACC